rnacentral:rRNA from 1 species
UAGGGUUUGAUCCUGGCUCAGAACGAACGCUGGCGGCGUGCUUAACACAUGCAAGUCGAACGCGAAAGGGACCUUCGGGUCCUGAUUAAAGUGGCGCACGGGUGAGUAACACGUGGAUAAUCUACCCGGUGAUCUGGGAUAACAUUCCGAAAGGGAUGCUAAUACCGGAUAAGCCCACGGGCUCUUCGGAGCUUGCCGGAAAAGGUGGGGACCAUCGGGCCUACUGUCUCUGGAUGAGUCCGCGACCCAUUAGUUACUUGGUAGGGUAAUGCCCUAGCAAGGCUACUAUGGCGAGCUGGUCUGAAAAGAUGAUCAGCCUCUCUUCAACUGAAAUGACGUUCACACUCCUACGGGAGGAAGCC